rnacentral:rRNA from 1 species
CAGUUCAGAUUGCAGGCUGNAACUCGCCUGCAUGAAGUCGGAAUUGCUAGUAAUCGCGGAUCAGCAUGCCGCGGUGAAUACGUUCCCGGGUCUUGUACACACCGCCCGUCACACCAUGGGAGUUGGAAAUGCCCGAAGUCGGUGACCUAACCGAAAGGGAGGAGCCGCCGAAGGCAGGUCUGAUAACUGGGGUGAAGUCGUAACAAGGUACC